AUUGAACGCUGGCGGCAGGCUUAACACAUGCAAGUCGAGCGGGGUGAUGGUGCUUGCACUAUCACUUAGCGGCGGACGGGUGAGUAAUGCUUAGGAAUCUGCCUAUUAGUGGGGGACAACAUCUCGAAAGGGAUGCUAAUACCGCAUACGUCCUACGGGAGAGAGCAGGGGAUCACUUGUGACCUUGCGCUAAUAGAUGAGCCUAAGUCGGAUUGGCUAGUUGGUGGGGUAAAGGCCUACCAAGGCGACGAUCUGUAGCGGGUCUGAGAGGAUGAUCCGCCACACUGGGACUGAGACACGGCCCAGACUCCUACGGGAGGCAGCAGUGGGGAAUAUUGGACAAUGGGGGGAACCCUGAUCCAGCCAUGCCGCGUGUGUGAAGAAGGCCUUAUGGUUGUAAAGCACUUUAAGCGAGGAGGAGGCUCUUUUGGUUAAUACCCAAGAUGAGUGGACGUUACUCGCAGAAUAAGCACCGGCUAACUCUGUGCCAGCAGCCGCCGCAG
rnacentral:rRNA from 1 species